UCAUGGCUUCCUCGUCGUACAUCAGUGGGCCAAGACCUUUGUGACGAUGGGCCCUACAAGCCCGUCCUUGGCAACUGGAGAAAGCGGCACUUUCUCCUUCACGUGAAGCAUGAUGGCUGCGGCCUACCAGAAUUAUUAGCCGAGAUACUGGCGAAAAAAAAAAAAAGAAGACGAAGCGAGGAGACGACCGACCACCUGAUGCUGCCAAGAAAGAAUGUAUGCAGCUUCCGGCUUAUUACUCCGAGCUAUGGGAAGGGUGGUUAGCUAUUAACUCUGUGAAACAGCGUCUCCGGCUCUAGAAAGUUUAAUAGUCACAGGGAGCUGGCGUAUAUGGAAAGAACGGAAUAGCAGGAUCUUCUAAUUCCAAGCUAAAUCGGCAGAGGAAGCAGCAAGCUAAAUCGACAGAACAAAAUGUUGAAUAUUCUGCUUAACACAUUUUAAAAUAAUUAAAUUAUUUAUAAAUUUCACUGCUAAUAUUAUUUAUUUAAACAAAUCUUACUCACAAAUGCAGAGGCAGCCAUGCAUGAUGCAUGGCAUAUACCAUAAGUUGCAAAAUUCUUGUAUACCUUUUGUUAGUGAAAAUGGUAUAAAACUCUAAUUAGGCAAUGUAUGAUCAAGGUUUUAAUUCUGGUA